AAGAAGUGACGACCAAGUUUUGUCCACACUUGUAAAACAUUGGGCUGGUGACAGCUUACCUUGUCAGUUGCCAAGGAGAAUCUGACUCUGAUUUUUGACAAGCUCAACUUUUCUAGCCAGCCAAGCCCUCCAGAGGGAUCACUAUGAACAAAGGCUUGGGCAAAAUCAAAAGUUGCUGUACCUCCAGAUAUUACAGCAGUAUUCAAAAGCAGAAAGGUGCCAUAGGUUAUG